AAACUCUCUCUGCCUCUAGCCGCCAUCAACGUUGAAUUUUCAGGCGAAUCAACGUCGAUUGAGAACUCAUUUUAAGUUUAUAAUCCGCCGUCAGGUAGUUUUUGACCUUCAAUCAACAAUCCUGUUAAUUUACCCAUCUCAAGUCUUGUUAAGUGUGGGAUUUUCGGGGUUUUAUGUUGAUUGCUUGUGGGGUUUGGAGAUGUGAGGUCUGGGCUAAAAAAAGCAUGUAAAGAAAUGGCUGCUUCUGAGGUUUCGACUAUGGGUUACACGAAUCGUGUAACGGUGGAAAAUGGAAUUUCAAGCAUCUGGAAAUGUAAAAAUUUCGGCGAUUAUUUGGAAUUUUUCGAUUUUUUUCUGGCUUCUGAUUUUUGAGUUUAUUUUGUUAGUGGAUGCUGAGACAACGCUGUAUACGGAGCUAUGGAAGGCAUGUACUGGUCCUUUAGUUACUGUGCCUCGUGAAAAUGAGCUUGUUUUCUUCUU
rnacentral:lncRNA from 1 species